rnacentral:rRNA from 1 species
AUUGAACGCUGGCGGCGUGCUUAACACAUGCAAGUCGAUCGGUAACAGGUGUAGCAAUACAUGCUGACGAGAGGCGGACGGGUGAGUAAUGCUUGGGAAUCUGCCUAUUAGUGGGGGACAACCCGGGGAAACUCGGGCUAAUACCGCAUACGCUCUACGGAGGAAAGCCGGGGACCGCAAGGCCUGGCGCUAAUAGAUGAGCCCAAGUCGGAUUAGCUAGUUGGAGGGUAACGGCCUACCAAGGCGACAAUCCGUAGCUGGUCUGAGAGGACGACCAGCCACACCGGAACUGAGACACGGUCCGGACUCCUACGGGAGGCAGCAGUGGGGAAUAUUGGACAAUGGGGGCAACCCUGAUCCAGCGACGCCGCGUGGGUGAAGAAGGCCUGCGGGUUGUAAAGCCCUUUCGGUGGGGAAGAAAAGUCUCGACCUAAUACGUCGGGACCUUGACGUAACCACUAAAGAAGCACCGGCUAACUCUGUGCCAGCCGCCGCCGU